rnacentral:lncRNA from 1 species
ACUGCAAAUAGCCUUAUUCAGAGAAAGAUUCAUUGAACGUGGUCCCAUAAUAGUCUAAAGAUCUGCAAUUAUCCAUGAAGAUUAAUUGUCGAGAUUUGUGUUGAAGAUUUAUUGUUGAAGGUCUACAAUUAUACAUGAAGAUUCGUGUUGAAGAUUUAUUGUCGAAGUUCUACAAUUAUACAUGAAGAUUCGUGUUGAAGAUUUAUUGUCGAAGUUCUACAAUUAUACAUGAAGAUUCGUGUUGAAGAUUUAUUGUCGAAGUUCUACAAUUAUACAUGAAGAUUCGUGUUGAAGAUUUAUUGUCGAGAUUCGUGUAGUGUAGAUUAACAAUAGUUUGAAUUAUUUUUUAAUUUAUUUGUAUUGAAUUCGAUGAUAUUUCAAUUAUUUUAAUGUUCGGAUGAACAAAAAAACUUUGGCUAAUAAUUAUUUAAUUCAAAAGAUGUGAUACAACAAAUUAAUUACUUAUCCAAUCGUUAAGCUACACAUGUACAAAGUUAUUUUGUUAAACUUUUUACUCUGGAAAAUAUGUUUUUCUUUUUCUUCUUUUUUUCUAUAUGAAAUAUUUGAGUAGCAAGUUGGUUUCUAAUUAAAAAGAAGAAGAAGAAGAAGAAGAAGAAAAAAAAAGAAUAAGUAUAUCUUCAUUCUUUCAUAGUAGUUGCACAAUUCAUCUUUAAUAAUAAAAAGGUUCAUUUGAAGCCCAUAUUUGGUUUAGUCAGUAAGUUGAUAAAAGUAAGUCAAAAUUAACAUAAGAGGACUAUAAGAUAAUUUAAGAGAAAUUUAAACCAUUUUUAUGAUAUUGAUUGUAACUACAUAACAAAAGUAGAUUUGCUCUCUCUCUCUCUCUCUCUCUCUCUCUCUCUCUCGCUCUCUCUCUCUCUCUUUUAAGUAAAGGAAAAGAAAAUCUCUACGUCAAGAAAAUUUAGAAAUAUAAUCCUUAUUUAAAUUGGCAAGAUGUUUAAAUAAAAAUUUAACUUCAAUCUCACCAACAUUAUAGUCAAGGUAAGAAAUACGAUCGGCAUCAUUCAUUUUCAAAAUGUAUGAAUUUUAUUGCUCAACUUACAAUUUAGUUCAAUGAGUUAAUUUCAAUGUUGGCUUGAAGGGUCGGCACAUGGUGCAUUUUGUCCCCACUCGAGCAAAAGUGAUUUAGCCCCCGUUUGAUCCUCAUUUUUACCCAAAAAUGCAUUUUUCCCAUCACAUCAAUGUAGGACCUACACAAUAUUAUAUGUUUUGUUUUGAAUUCAAAAGGUAUAAAAUUCCAAUUUCACCCAUGGUCUCUCGGCUGAGUGGUUUUGGGAUGGAAAGUUAGUGGGCAAGGGCAAGGGCAAAUUUUGGAAAAGAAGAACUCUUGGUCUCUGAGUAAAUCACGUGGGUUGGCAAGCAAAUAAUGAGCAACGGUCCAAAAAUUCAUUAUUGUGCAAAAUUAAUGGGGACCAAACAACCCCUUAGCUGAAAUUAAAUUUCUCUAGAUCAAAACUACAGUUAUGUUUGGCUCCUAUUUUUUCAAAAAUUCAUUUUUUUUUCAAAACAUAUUUUUAACUACACAUUCUCUCAUAAAAUAAUAUUACAUGUAAAACGAAAAUAUGUUCUUAUUUUUUAACGUUAUAUUCUUCAAAAACAAUACUAUUUCAAAUUACAUUUUUCUCAAAAUUACAAGUUAUUGGACCCUAACAAGGGCUAGAGGGUAUGGUAGUGAUUAAAAUUAGAUUUUUUAAUAGAUUGUGAUAGAAACUUUGAAGUGUGUAGUUGAAAAAUUGUGAGACCCAUAAAAGAUGUAAUAAAUAUUGAUUGUGAGACUUUGAUUUAGAAUAAAUUCAGAUUUUAAUUCCAAAACAAACUCUUAAUUAAUUGCAAUUUAUCUAACUUGACCAAGAAAGUAGACUUACCCUAAUGCUCUUCCUUUAUAGAGAAGAAAUGUAAUCAAUAAUGAUCUAAACGGGUCCCACAAUUUGAUUGACUUUUUUGGAAAUUUAUCCCAAAUUCUCGUAAAAAUCAUAACCCUAAUUGUAUUAAGCCGAAUUAGAUAAAAAUAAAUUUUUUACUAGACUUAAAAAAAAAGUUAUUGAAGCGUGAAAAUAAAAAGUUUGUGGAUUUCGUGAAAUGUAUGUGUUACGUGCUGACACACUUGUUGACCCACUGAGGCCCAUGGCCGCCGAAGCCCUUAGGCCCACAAAGAAUCAGGAACUACUUGAAACACGGCCUAUGACGUGGCCCAGAGUGCCAGAAUGCCAAGGUGCUGUAGCCUAAGUGGUUCAUAUUUUCGAGGUUGUUCAUAUCGAGGCCCAUCAUGCUGAAGCCUUGGAGCAUCUCUCGUAUCACUUCUCCCCCAAAGAUCCAGCCUAACACAAGAAUCCUCUUUGAAUGAUUGAUGGGACACCCAUCAUAGGGCGCCUGUGUCUUGUCUUGCCAAAAUAGAGGCGACUUUGCCGAUUAAUAAAUGUACAGUUGGCUAGGAGGUCAAACUUGACACCUACAGUUUGACAUGUAAAUUAAUAAGAUUAGGCCCGCAUACUCCCCACUGAGAGCCACAAUCUAACUUGUAACGUUAUAAAUACUCCCACAUGUACCCCAUACAAAGGUUAAUGCAAGAUUCAAUACAAGAACAAAUAUAACAUUCUUUACAUUUCACUCUCUUGCAAUAUACACGAGUUCAUAUACAAAUCCUACAAAUAUCGAUUGAUAAUUAUUGUACAAUUGUUAUGUAAACAUCUCGUCGGAUUUCGAAUGUUCUCAUCCCGUGCCUUUGAGUCGCUCCCAUGCCCCUGUUCUACCAGUUCUAGACCAUCCACGUGUCUUAGUGUGUUGGACCAGGCUUACGUGCGCGAGGGUGGGUCCAGUAUCUGUUGGCAACAUAUUCUAGGGUCAACAGAUUGACGCCAUCUAUGGGAAACCAUAAUAUAACCACAAGCAAUCAUGUGGUGAAACCUGACUGAAAGAAGAACAUUCAAACAUCCCCUUUGAAAAAUGAUUUGUUCUUGAAAAAGAGCAAGAGAAAGCCCCAUAAGUUUGAAAAAUUUGAAAUUAAAACUUAGAAGAAAAAAUGAGCUCAGAUAAAGAUGUGCCCCCCAGGAGAGUAGGAGAAAAUGCAGGAGCGACCCCAGCAGUUCGUCGCAAGACUUACCACCAUCACCAGAGAUGUGGUACAAGAAUGGCCACCCAAAUCUCAUGGGAAAUGGCUGUCGACAUGAGAAACAUCGCGAGCCAGAAUAUGGCUAUGAGGGAGCUCAUGGCCAAGAUGCAGGGCUAGGAAGGUUUCCCUAUGCCUCCCUAUGCACCCCAAUGGCAAUAUCAACAAGAAGAAGAGGUCCAAAGCCAAAGGGUUGCAUCACCGGACUAUAAUUAGGGUGGUAUUCUUCUGGAAAGGGAAGUAGAAGUUGACAUUUCUUCCAGCUAUGCUUCCGGCCGACCUAUCGAGGUCCCAUAUAACCAAGAUAACUUCCCACCUGCUAUAAGCCGGAGCAAAGACACAGGAGGUCAAACAGUGUUUUUGAUAGAAUCAGCCCAGCUGAGCCGAGGCACAGAACGCAACAACAACCUCGUGAGCCUCGGGUGAGGCCACAGCCCCACCUCUGACAACUCAGCAACCGGAGGAAAGGCAUGAAAAUGUCCCCAUGUUGCUCCGCCUAGAAAUAAGCGUCAAAGAAGGGAGGAGGAGGCUAGAAACCAGGCUUAUGCAUCACACUCGCCCCCAAGAUAUGAGGUUGACGAAAAUAAUGACUCAGAUGAACAGUGGUGGUCCUGUAACCUAGAUGAUGACGAUGAAAAUCUACUGUUUUUAAGAGAAUUAAGAAGCGCCCAAGUACUAGGCCACUAUAUCAUGCCUAAAAUACCAAAAUAUGACGGGAGAGGCGACCUGGAGAAACACUUGAACGCCUAUAAGACCCACAUGAGCUUGAGAGGAGCCACUUCGACAAUGAAGUGUAGAGCCUUCCACUUAAUGCUUAGUGGAGCCGCCGAAAUUUGGUACAACAGGCUGCCACCAGGAAGUAUAAGAAGUUGGCCAGAGUUCCCAACCACCUUCCUAAAGAGGUUCGUUGUGUGUAAGGAAUGAGAUGCCCCUAUCCAGUGCCUUCAAGACAUGAGACAGACGCAUGGAAAAUCCCUAAAGAACUUCUUAUCACGCUUUAUUGAUGAAAUGACAUACUGCGUGCAAGUCAUUGAUCGUGAGGCCUUAUUAGCUCUAAGGGAUGGUUUGAAUAUGAACACCCUGUUCUGGAGGAAUGUACAAAACUAGGAUCCCACCACCUAUGAUCCCCUGCUUAAAAUGAUGAGGCGAUAAAUAAUCAAUGAAGAAUCGAUUGAACACGGGGAUAGAGCCAGCAGACAAAAGCGGUGUGCCAGAGGGCCGACAUCCCACUUGAUGGACUACCAGAUGAACCAAGCUGGUAAUGAAAGCUCAGGGCAAGCACUCGCCACCACCACUUUGAAUGCAAUGCCAACCUUGGCAUAUGAAGAUGUCAAUCCUACGAUCGAUAAUUAGCAGGCUGGAACUUCACGACAGGCCCCCGCAGAGGCAGAGGUCGAGGGUAUGGUUCAGGACCUAGGAAUAGGUCGAACCAAAAUCUCCCUGAGUAUUGUACGUACCAUCGUUCAUACAGCCACGAUACCAUCGAUUGUUGUGAUUAUGCACACCACACUCGAGAUAAAAGAAAUGAAUCACCCUAGGCGAACAGGCCUCCACCUAGGUAUAAUCAGCAACCUAGGCGUGAGGGGGCCACCCCUGCCAGCGGGAUACAUCUUCUCGCAGAAGGUAGUAUGAUGAGGAAAGGCCCAAUGAAGGAUGUAGGCAUCGUAGAGGUCGUCAGGAACUGCGCCCUUGUUGACAGCUACAUUGUAGGCAGCGGCUCUUGGAGAAAUCAAGCGCCACCCAUCGUCUUCACCCAAGAAGACUCUAAGAGAGUUUACUACCCCCACUACGAUGCACUUGUGGUAAGGGCCAAGGUGGCCCGGAAUAGGCUCAAACGAAUGCUUAUCGACAAUGGCAGCUCUGUUAACAUCCUAUUUGGGUCUACCUUUGACAAGAUGAUCUCAGACCAUGAGUUGAUGCCCACCACAACUCCCUUGUAUGGAUUUACAGACAACAGCAUCACUCCAAGGGGAAAGAUCGUCCUCUCAGUAGAGAUGGGGGAAUCACCCCAAACCACGAUGAACUUCAUGGAGUUCCUCAUUAUUGACGGCCAUUCAGCCUACCAUAGAGUGUUAGGUAGACUAGCCCUAAAAGAAUUAGAAGCUGUCACCUCCAUCUACCACCUAUGUAUGAAGUUCCCAGCUGAAAAUAGAGUGGCGACAGUGAGAUGUGACAAAAGAGGAUCUAGGGAUUGCUAUCUGAGCUCCAUUAGGAAGGUUGAGCCCUAGGACGUACAUGUCAUCAUCGUAGACAUGGACAUGACUGACGUCCUAGGCGAGGCUCCUGAACGAGAAGACGUUGAGAUGAUCAAUGCACCUCCCUAGUAGGAAGAGUUACUCAUGCUUGAUGAGAUUGACCCUUGUGUGACUGAACAUGUACCUCAGAUAACCCCAAUUGAGGAGUUGGAGAACUUUUCGGUGGACUCCCAGAACCCCCACUAAAGUGUUGAAAGUGGGCAAGGGUUUACCUAAUGACUUGGAAGAGAAACUGAAGGACUUCCUGUGUAGGAACCUCGAUGUCUUUGCUUGGAGGCAAGAGGACAUGGUACGCAUAGACCCCAAGGUUAGUUGCCACCACCUGAAAAUCGAUCCCAAGGUUGCCGCGUAUAGACAAAAAAGAAGAGCCCUCAACCCAGAGAUGUAUGAGGCCCUAAAAGAAAAAGUGUAGAACUUAAUCCAGAAUGUCUUCAUCAGAGAGGCCAUUUACCCUAAAUGGAUCUCCAACCCGGUGCUAGUCAAGAAGCACAAUGGCAAAUGGAGGGUACGUAUCGACUUUACUAACCUUAACAAAGCAUGCCCCAAAGAUAGCUUCCCACUUCCAAGGAUCGACCAAUUGGUAAACUCCACCGUCGGGCAUGAGCUUCUAAGUUUUAUGGAUGCCUAUUUAGGCUACAAUCAGAUCCCCAUGUACUCGGCCGAUGAGGAAAGCACCUCCUUUAUAACUGACAAAGGCCUUUACUGCUGCAAAAUGAUGCCCAUUGGGUUAAAAAAUGCUAGGGCUACAUACCAAAGGCUUGUCAACAAAAUGUUUGUGGACCUCAUCUGCAGGACGGUGGAAGUCUAUGUAGGUGAUAUGCUUGUGAAAGUUUGAAGGCAGAUGACCAUGUGACGCACUUGAAUGAUACCUUUCGAAUCCUAAGAAGAUACAGAAUGAAGCUCAAUCUCCUCAAGUACGCUUUCGACAUUACCUCUGACAAAUUAUUGUUGUACAUGGUCAACCAAAGAGGAAUCAAGGCCAAUCUCGAAAAGAUCAAUGCCCUGCUCGAAAUGAGAUCACCACAGAAACCAAAGGAAGUCCAAAGCCUAACUGGAUGGGUGGCAAGGCUCAGCCGCUUUGUCUCCAAGGCUACCGAUAAAUGUCUCUCGUUCUUCAAAGUAUUGAAAGCCGAGAAGAAGUUCCAAUGGACAGAGGAUUGUGAAGAGGCCUUCCAGGGCCUGAAAAGGCAUCUAGGGCAGGCCCCCUCCUUUCCAAGCCAAAGCCUAGCGAUAUUCUUCAAUUAUACCUAGCCGUCUGCAGUGAGGCCAUCAGCGCAGUCCUAAUUCAAGAGGAAGGAAUCACCCAACUCCCCAUGUAUUACACCAAUAAGAUACUUCUAUCCCUGGAAACUCACUACCUUGAUAUGGAGAAGCUGGCCUUGGCCUUGGUUACAGCUUCUAGGAAGCUGAGGCCCUGCUUCCAAGCUCACACCAUUCACGUGCUGACCAACUUUUCCCUAAGGCAAGUGCUUCAGAAGCCCGACGCCUUGAGGAGACUAUUGAAAUGGGCAGUGGAGCUAAGCGAAUUUGAUAUUGUCUUCAGGAUAAGGGCAGCCAUCAAGGGCCAAGCCUUAGCUGAUUUUGUGGCGAAGUUUGCCAACGUGCCUGAGGUAGAAGAGGUUAUGGAACCUGUCGAGCCCCCCACAUGGAACUUGUUCGUGGAUUGUUCGGCUAGAGAAAUCAGAUCGGGAGCUGGGGUAGUCCUUGUAAGCCCAGAAGGUCAUAAGCUGAACUCAGCAGUAAGGUUCAAAUUUAAGGCCACCAACAAUGUGGCAGAGUAUGAGGCACUCCUUGCAAGCCUCAGAUUAGCAAAAGAAAUGUAAGUAAGGAGGCUAAUUAUCAACAGUAAUUCCCAACUGGUUGUAAAUCAAGUGAAUGGCAACUUCUCAGCUAGGGACAAAAUCAUGGCCUCUUACUUGAAAAUGGCGAUGAACCUCCUCUUAUCUUUUGAAAAGUUUGAACUGAUCCAAAUUUCUUAUGUUGAGAACGCACACACUGAUGCACUUUCCAAACUUGCGAGCAGCAAGGAUUCCAAACAACUUGCAAUAGUACUAAUUGAGCACCUCCUCAAACCAUCUAUCGAGGCCCCUAAUAUGAUGUGGGUAGAAGGCACUCCGACCUAGAUGUAGCCUAUCUAAAGGACCAGGUCCUACCCACCAACAAGGACAAGGCCUACAAACUGAGAAGGAGGUCAGCUCAUUUUGUGUUCAUUGAUGACGUGCUUUAUAAGAGAAGUUUUUCCUCCCUACUUAUUCAAUGUGUGGGCGGGGAAGAGGCCACCUAUAUUCUAAAAGUCCAUGAAGGUAUUUGUGGCAACCACUCCGGAGGCCUAGCCCUAGCACGAAAGUUAUUGAGGCAGGGAUACUACUGGCCCACUUUGAAAAAUGAUGCUCUUCAAUUUGUGCGAAAAUGUGACAAAUGCCAACGUUUCUCUCCCAUCCAAAGGCAACCUUCACAAGAACUGAUUGCCGUCUCCAGCCCCUCGCCUUUCUCUAAAUGGGGCGUGGAUCUCAUAGGUCCCCUACCAAAAGAUAGAGGAGUUUCAAACUUUGAAAUUGUGGCCAUUGAUUACUUCACGAAGUGGGUCGAGGCUGAACCACUGGGGAAAAUCACAGAAGCAAACACUUUCAAGUUCUUGUGGAAGAACAUUAUUUGUCAGUUCGAGAUUCUCCACUCUAUAGUCUCGGAUAAUGGAAAGCAAUUUGACAACAAGAAAGUUAGGAGCUUAUCUAAAGAGCUUGGCAUAAAGAAAUGGUCAGGUCGAGGCUAUGAACAAAACAAUCAAGCAUGUCCUCAAAAGGAAACUUGAUGUGUGAAAAGAGACCUGGGUUGACGAGCUACCAUAAGUCCUUUGGGCAAUCCGUACUACAACCAGGACCCCAACUAGGAAAAUACCCUUCAUGAAGGCUUAUGGUACCGAGGCGAUGAGUCCCGUUGAGGUAUGAUUACCAUAACGUCGACACUUACACUUCGAUGAAAUAACUAACGAUGAGCUUCGAAGGCUCGACCUCGACUUUCUUGAUGAAAGAAGGGAUGAAUCCCAGCAAAGACUUGUUAGCUACCAAAAGAAGAUGAUGAAAUACUACAACUCCAAGGUGAAGAAGAGGUCAUUCCGAAUCAAUGACCUCAUCCUCAAGAGGGUCUUCCUCUCCUCCAAGGAACCAGGCGUAGGUACCUUAGGUCCAAACUGGGAAGGCCCAUACAGAGUCAGAGAAAGAUUUGAUCCGAUACCUACUAGAUUGAAGACAUGGAUGGCAAGGCACAGCCUCGUCCAUGGAAAAUUGAUCAUCUCCAAAUUUAUUAUUAGUGAUUGUACCACCUUGCUGGAUGAUCUUUCCCAGCUCAUGUAUCAAAUUUAAAAUUUCAACAAAUUUCUAGUUUGCUUAAGUUCAACAAAUUUCUCCAAGUGUGGGCACCUUAGAGGAGAGUUCCAAAUCCCAACUCUAGGUCACCUCGCCAGAACUCUGAGACUUACACCACAUGCCUCCCUUUGACGAGGCUGAACGCCAAAGGGAGAAGCUCCUUCAUGGCUGCACCAUCCACUAUAUAGGGAGACGUGGGAGCCUCGGAGGAGAGGUCUAGAUUCUAAGUCUGGGUCACCUUGUCUGAACUCUGUGGUGCACGCCACAUACCUCCCUUUGGUGAGGUUGAACGCCAAAGGAAAAGCCCCUACAUGGCUGUACGAUCUACCAUGUAGGGAAGCGUGGGCAUCAUCCCAACUCUGGGUCACCUCGCCUGAAUUCUGAAGCGUACACCACAUGCCUCCCUUUAGCGAGGUUGAAUGUAAAAGGAAGAAGCAUCUGCUCAGAUUCUGCACGACGAGGUUCAUUCAUUAUCACUCAGGUUAUGAGGUUAUUAAAUUUGCUUGAGUAUAACACUUAAGUUUAAUCUUAUUUGAGGUGCCAAUCAUGUGGCUUGAGUUAUUAUUUCAAAUUAUUGGCUCAUCCUUAAGCUCGAUUGCUUGACGAGGCCGAUUUACUUAAAAAACAACAUAUAUCAGAAAAUAGACAGAAUGUUGCAAAAUAUGGCAUUCAUUGGUCUUGGACAAAUUACAAGAGGUAGGCCCAAGGCCUGUACAUCAGAAUAAACUGAAAGUAAACUACACUAUGCUUGGAUAGAUAGUGAAGCUGCCUCGACAGAAGGUGUCUCCACAGCUUGAGCUUCAGAAUUAUCUUUAUUCUCUUCAGUCGCUUCGCCACCGACUGCUUCCUCAGCAGGGGUCUAAGGGACUUCGUCCACAAACUCUAACCUCAGUUGAGAUAGGUCAUUUUUUGGGUAGAGCUACUCAGCCCUCUCCAUCAUCUCAGCAUAAGCGAAGUUUCUCCAGUAUAAGUCGAAGCGUUGAUACUCCUCAGAGAGAUGGAAGUUUGCAAUAAUCCUUAACUGCCUCCUCCUUGGCUAUCUCGGCCUCUCUUCCAGCCUUCUACAGCUCAUCUAUAUGCCACUUUAUUUGGCCCUCCAGAAACUUGUAUGCACCGUUGGCCCUGAUCAGCUCUAAAUUAGCCUUGUCCAAGGUCUCAGCAGUUAUCUUCUAGUGAUUGUUAGAAAUCUCCACUUUCUUGGUGAGAGAAGCUACCUCACAUUGAGAUUUAUAAACCUCCUUCUUUAAGGCCUCAAAUUGGGCCAAGGCAGAUUCCAGCUUGGCACUAUCUUCGACUCUUUGGGCCCUCAUCUCAUCUGCCUUGGCCCUUAUUUUCUUCAUCUUCUCCUCACUGGAGGCUAGCUUCUCCAAGGAAGACUUGUUCCUUGACUGAAAAUCAGUGAGGGCUUCUCUGCACUCCAAUGCGAGGCCAAAUGUCUACACAUUUUGGCUUAUGAGGGCCCUCAUAAGGUCUGCAGCAUCGCAGGACGAGGCAUGCAAUUGCCAUCGAUCCAUCCAAAACUUGUAAAUUCUCUGUAUCCCUUGGACUUCGAUCGGCAGUGCCUCAAGCAACGCAGGAGCCAAUUCCUCCUCUCGCCUCGAUAAGAAGUUGGGGGACUUUCCUUGUGUCCUUGAGGCCCACUACCUCUUUCACUGCCAACCUCGUAGCCUCUCCCCUUGCUUCUUCCUCUUUUACCCUCCUCACCAUCUCAACUUUGGCCAUUUAGGUAGAGGCCAUCAACUUAGGAGGAGGAGGAGGAUGAUCGCUUUACCUGAAUGGGACAUCGAGGUCCCAAAUUUCCCCAAGGAGUUGGAAAUAUGCACCAACUUCCUCUUCUUCUGAUGCUUCUCGGGGACCUUCUCCUUGCCCCUAGACUCUUAAGGCUUUUCCUUCGAAGGGGCCUCCUCCUCAUCCCCUUCGAUGUGUGCUCUUUGGAGAGUUUCUCUAGCCUUUCCCUCACCUCUUUUGCAGCACUGGAGCUCGAUUUCAAAGUCUUAUCCCCCACUGUAUAAGUGGCCUUUAGGAUGGUGGCCAUAUCUAGAACAUGGUACUCCCUCCUCUUGAAUUUAUCUGCAAAAAGUAGUAAUAGUUUAGAACUAUAUCAACAAUUCUGAAAUUCCACCAAGUACAAGCACCUCUUACACUUUGAAGCUAUUACCCCGAAGUCGAUGAAAUAUCUGCUUCGGUCGAUAAGAUGAUUGAAGUGACGAAGCUUUAAGGGUCGCUUGUAGAUGUCCUCUAUCAUGUCGAACUCACCUUCGUGAAGCUCGUAUCUCGUACUAGAAUCUGUAAUAUUAGCAUCAACAGUCAAAAUUCAAGAAAAUUCAGUACAGAUGAAACUUCACUAGGUUGGGCCACUCACGUGCUUAGUAGUACUGGGUCUGUACUGUGCAAGCGAAGAUUGUAUCCCCCUUAACUGCCUGCCACUUUUCCCGAACCCAGAAACACGACUCCUUCCACCCCUUGAUGGAAGAAGGCAACCCCACCACAAAAGGUGCAUGAGCCCCCCAGGGAGUGAUGCAGUACCACCCCUUAGACUCCUUACUUAUGACACGGGCUUGGAAAAGGGUUUAGAAGACAUGUAGAGGCAUAUCCUCCCUUAAUGACACUUCUUUCCACAAUAAGUACGACCCCACUAGCUGAAUCCACCCAUUUGACAGAACCUGGGUCGGUGACAAUAUAAAAUUUCUAAGCAUAACCCUAAAGAAGGGGUGUAGAGGAAGAUGCAUACCUACUUUGAAUAGGUAUUUAUUUACGGCCUCACAUCCGGGCCUCAAAAAACAAGCCCGUUUGUGGGCCUACUAACAUUUCUAUGUAAUAAGGAACGCAAUACUUCUCCCUAAUCUCCCCCAAUUUCUUCGAGGUCAUGUUUGAUGCUAUCUUUGUAGCCCCCCACUCCUCCUCGUAAUCUAUGGGCUCCUCGACCAUGGCAUAGUGUUCGACCUCGAAGUCCUUGCUUAGAACAGCCCCCAUACCCAACCUAACUAUAGUGAUCAAGUCUCUACCCGAAGUGGAUUCCAUCCCGGAUAUCAAGAAGUAAAGAUUGACAAACAAGUUCAAAUUUUGAAAUUGAAUACUUACACUAACGACUAAGGAAACCAAGAAAUACCGAAAAAUGGGAUCGGAGCAAAGUUUGGACGCCAAAAAACCUACAAAAUUUCAGAGGAAAAUCACAGAAAUCAGAGGAUGAAGAAGGGUUCAAAAUGGGGGUCUUUGGCCUUUUAUAGAAAGCCAAGACGAACCCUAGCCUUUCGAUCGAGGCCCAACAAAUCUCAGCCUUUUAUUCUAAGGUUAAAUUCGAGGCGUAGAAUUCAAAUCAUUUUGAAAUUAACGCCUCAAAUUCAAAUGUGCCUCUCACGCACCUCUCCAAACGCGUCUCCUUCUAGAAGCCCUAGCUGUAGCAAUCAUUGCACAUUUAAUGCAGCAGCCGUACAUGCCUUGGAAGACAUAGUGGCUUUGGUGGUUUUGUUGAAAACAUGAGCAAAACAUCAAAUCAUUGGCACGACCAUCGAAGAACAAUCAUUAACAAUGAGCCUCAGCCGGGUUGAUUCACUCGUCGCCUCGGCUUUUUCAUCACAAUUCAGUCACAUCGUCACAAGCCUCAGCAGGUUCAAUUUACUCCCUGCCUCGACCUCACAAUUCAGCCACAUCUUCAUAAGCCUCGGUAGGUUCGAUUCACUCACCGCCUUAGCGUCUUCAUCACAAUUCAGCCACAUCUUCACAAGCCUCGACAGGUUCGAUUCACUCCCCGCCUCGGCUUCUUCAUCACAAUUUAGUCACAUCUUCACAAGCCUCAGUGAGUUCGAUUCACUCCUCACCUUGCCUUCUUCAUCACAAUUCAACUACAUCUUCACAAGCCUCUGCAGGUUUGAUUCAUUCACCGCCUCGACUUCUUCAUCACAAUUCAGCCACAUCUUCACAAGCAUCGGUAGGUUCGAUUCACUUACCAUCUCGACUUCUUCAUCACAAUUCAUCUAUUAUUUCAACAAUAACAUUUUUAACUCUAACCAUGAUAUAAAUAUCUACAUUUGGACUUGGGGGACUAUUAUUUAGGGUUAAAAAAUUCUUUCAAUUUUUACCCAACAAAUUGGCUUUACUUCAUCAAAGUCCAUGCAUUACAUAAAUGAUUAUACUUGGGGACUAUUGUUACGUGCUAACACACUUAGUCGAUCCACUGAGGCCCAUGGCCCACCUAUGCCAAACCACGUGGCAUAGUGGCCAAGCCCCUUAGGCCCACAAAGAAUCAGGAACUACUCGAAACACGAUCUAUGACGUGGCCCAGAGUGCCAGAAUGCCAAAGUGCUGUAGCCUAAGUGGUUCAUAUUUUCGAGGCUGAUCAUACCGAGGCCUAUCAUGCCGAAGCCCUGGAACACCUCUCACAUCACUUCUCCCCAGAGAUCCGGCCUUACACAAGAAUCCUCUUUGAAUGAUUGAUGGGACACCUAUCAUAGAGCACCAGUGUCUUGUCUUGUCAAAAUAGAGGCGGCUCUGCCAAUUAAUAAAUGUACAGUAGGCUAGGAGGUCAAACUUGACACCUAUAGUUUGACAUGUAAAUUAACGAGAUGAGGCCACAUGUACUCCCAACUGAGGGCCACAAUCUAACUUGUAACAUUAUAAAUACUCCCUUAUGUACCCCAUACAAAGACUAAUGUAAGAUUCAACACAAGACCAAAUAUAACAUUCUUUAUAUUUCACUCUCUUGCAAUAUACACGAGUUCAUAUACAAAUCUUACAAAUAUCGAUUGGUAAUUAUUGUACAAUCGUUAUGCAAACAUCAUUCCGAACGUUCUCGUCCCGCGUCUUUGAAUUGCUCCCACACUCUUAUUCUAUUAGUUCUAGAUUGUCCACAUGUCUUAGUGUGUUGGACCAGGCUUAUCUGCGCACGGGUGGGUCUGGUAUCUGUUGGCAACAUAUUCUGGGGUCAACAGUAUGUUUUAGAUUUAUUAUAUCUAAUCAUCCUCAAUGUAUUUUAAAAAAAAUGUUGAAAUUUUGAGUGUAUUAUUGCUUUGAGGAUAAUUAUCAUUGAGUAAAAGCUUUAUCGGCUGCAAUUUAAAAAUUUCCAAGCGUUUGUUUAAUCGUGAUUCUGAUGCUUAAAAUAUUAUCAAUUAGGACAAUGAUUUAUUACAUCUUUUUAAAAGUUAUUCAUAGGGACACAGUAAGAAAAGAUUCUUUAGUAGCCAAGACAAAAAUUAGGUAGAGAAAGAUUCAUUGAACAUUGUCACUUAAUCGUCUAAAGAAUAUGCAAUUAUAUAUGAAGCUGUCGAAGAUUUAUUAUUGAGAUUCGUGUAGUGAAGAUAAACAAUAGUUUGAAUUAUGUUUUUAAUUUAUUGUAUUGAAUUCGGUGAUAUUUUUAAUCUUUUUAUUGUUUAAUUUCAUAAUUAUGAGCGGAUAAAUAAUUUAAUGUUAGGAUGAACAAUAUAACUUUGAUUAAUAUUUAUUUCAUUCAAAAGAUUUGAUACAACAAAUUGAUUAUUUUUUCAAACUUUUUACUCUGGAAAAAUUAUUAUUAUUAUUAUUGUUUUAAAUGAAAUAUUUGAGUAGCAAAUUGGACUCUAAUUUAAAAAAUGAAAAAUUAAAUUAGUAUAUCUUCGAUCUUUCAUAGUAGUUGCACAAUUUAUCUUUAAUAAUAAAUAGUGCUUUUGAAGCCUAUGUUUCGUUUACUUAAUAAGUUGAUAAAAAUAAGUCAACAUCAAGAAUUAAUUUUAUUAUAUAUUUCAUGAGACCCAAUUGAAUAUAAAAGGAUUAUCAGAUAAUUUAGAAGAAAUUUAAACCAUUUUUAUUAUAUUGAUUGUAACUACAUAACAAAAGUUACAAAAGUAGACUUGAUCUGCACCUCUAGUAAUCAUUUUUUUUUAAUAACUAAAAUCUCUAAAUGAAGAAAAUUUAGAAAUGUAAUCCUUAUUUAAAUUGGGAAGAUUUUUAAACAAAAGGUUAACCUCAAUCUCGCCACCAUUAUAUGCCAGGGUAAGAAACAUUGUAGGUAUCAUCCAUUUUAAAAAUGUCACAAUUUCAUUAGUUAACUUACGUUUUAAUUUCAACAAUUUAUUCACUCGAUCCAAAUGUUGGCCUGGAGCGUCAGUAAGCUGUGCAUUUUGCUACUAUAAGAAUUUGAUUUAAAAGAAAUGAAAAUUGGUUAAGUAUUAAACCAUGAAAAAUGUGAAAAAUGACUUUCAUGUCAACUUUGAACAAAUAUUCAGACUUGAUCCAAUAAUCAAAUUAUGAAAAUAAGUAGACUACCUAGUUUUACUCGUCGAGUAGAUGAUCGUGGUAUGUUUGGACUCUCAAAACUAAUUCCAGAUGAAUGAAAAAUCGUGGUUCGAAAUUGAAAGGAAAAAUUUCGAUUUUCAACACCUAUGAUUGCCUCGCGAGCGGCAACCCAGCACUAGGUGAGCGAUAUAUGCUUUUGGCACUCGAGCAGUCCGCCAACGGUAGGCGAAAGGCAAAGAGGGGUGCGUCUCCUUAUGAAGGUUGCUGAGUUUUUGGGAGUGUCUCUUCAUUCACAAUCCCUCAUCUUCUAUAAAUUGGACGACUUGGACAUCAUUUAGACAUGCCAAUUCGUUGUAUCUUGGAAAACAAUUGCCGUUACUCCGUUAGCACCAUCGUGGGGGCAAAUUUGUCUUAAGAAAAAAGUUUUAUCACUUGUCUCGGAUCAUUUCAUCCAAAUUUCUUCUUCUUUUAAUUUUUGGUUCUACCAUCUUCCUUUGUGGUUUAACAUCAUUUUGUGUUGUUAAACUUGUGCUAAAAUCUUGUCCACGUGCAAAAUGUAACAUUUAUAACAUAUCUCCCAACAAUCUUAAGACAAAGUUUUCUGUUGUACCCAUUCUCUUCAUCUUUUGAAGUAGGCAUUUGUGCUAUUCCUUCCUCAAAUUUACUUUUGUUGAACUUCUGUUUACAUAAUAGAAAUGAAUAUCAUUGAAACUAGUUCGAGCCAAACAAUGUGGUUUUGUCUUUGGAUAUACCACUUCAAAAUACUCCAAUUAUACAUGAGGAAAAAAAUCGUAGAUAUUUGGAGGAGUGGACUCUAAGAGAUGACAACAAAAGAUGUUGUUUUAUCUCACCACUUUAAAUUUGGAAAAGUUCUUAACAGAAACCUCUCUAGUGGUACAAGAAUGGAAAGGUAAUCGUGAAAUGAUUAUUGCGUUGGAUACAGGAAAGCACUCAAAUUUUCUUAACAAGAACUACAUACUAAAUGGAUUGAACAAUACAUUUUUAUGGAGUGUAGAGUACUAUGAUAUCGGUAAAGAAACUUUGUAAUUCUUUGGAGAAAAAGUACAAAACGGAGGACUCCUGCAUGAAGAAGUUCAUUUUUAGAAUGUUCCUUGAUUCCAUGAUGAUAGAUUCCAAAACCGUCAUUACUCAAGUGCAAGAACUACAGGUUCUAUUUCAUGACAUUCAUGCGAAGAAAAUGGAGUUAAGUGAGUCUUUCCAUGUCCCUGCAUCAUCAAGAACCUCCUACCUUUAUGGAGAGAUUUCAAAAGCUAUUUUAAGCACAAAUGCAAAGUGGUGAACUUUGAGGAAUUGAUUGUCCUUCUUCGGAUUGAAGAAGACGAUAGAAAGACUAAAAGGAAGUUUGUUGUUCAACAUGGAGCAAACUUUGUGAAAUCCGGUUUGACGAUCAACAAAAACUGUAAGGUUUUGGGUGAUGCACCGGAAAGAGACAACUUCAAAAAAUGUCAAAAAGUUCAAAUGGGACUGCUACAAAUUUGAAAAAAAUGGGACAUUACUCUAAUGAAUGUCAAAAGCCUAAAAAAAAUGGACAAGGAAAUGUAGCUGAAAGAAAUAUUCUAUCUAAAUGAGUACAAGAAACGAAUAUGUCUAUGGUUGUUUUUGAAUACAACAAUGUUGGUAAUCCAAGGGAAUGGUGGGUUGAUACUGGUGCUACCCACCACAUUUGUGCAGAUAAAACUAUAUUCUCAAAGUACAAAAAACUAAAUGAAGAAUAACUUUUCAUGAGAAAUUCUGCAAGCUUAAAGUUGAAAGACAAGAAAAUAUUACUUUGAAGAUGACAUUCGACAAAGAGUCUCAACAAUGUCCUACAUAUAUUGGACAUUCGUAAGAACCUUGUAUUCGGGUCAUUACUUAGCAUAAAUGACUUUAAACAUGUAUUUGUAUCCAAUAAAUUUGUGCUAAUUAAAAAUGAGAUGUAUGUUGAUAAUUUUUACUUAUAUAAUGAAAUUAUCAAAAUGAAGGCUCUUACAAUUCUAUUGAAACAAAGUAUUAUGAAUAAACGUUUAAAUUUUACUUAAAGCUUAAAUUGUUUUUUCAUGGCAUAAUUGAUUAAGACAUGCAAAUUAUAGAUUUGUGCAUAUAAAAUUAUGAAUCAAAAUUUAAUUUCGACGCUUAAAUUUGAUCCUAAUUUUAGAUGUGAAAUUUGUGUUGAGGCAAAAUUGUCCAAAACAAUCAACAAUGGAAUCAGAGUUUAUUGCUUUGGACAAAGUUGGUGAAUAAGCAAAAUGGCUUCGUAACUUUUUGGAAGACAUUCCAUGUUGACCUAAGUCGGGACCUGCAAUAGGCAUAUAUUGUGAUGGUCAAUUGGCUAUUGGAACGAUAUAAAACAGUAUGUAUAAUGAUAAGUCUAGAUAUAUACGUCUUAGACUCAAUGUUAUUAAGCAACUGAUCUCAAUGACAUUAUCUCUAUAGAUUAUGUGAAAUCAAAGGAGAACAUUACGAAUCCAUUUACGAAAGGCUUAUUGAGAGAUCAAAUAUGUUGCCUAUCGAAAGGAAUGAGAUUAAAACCUAUUACAUAAGAGUCUUUCAGUGUUUCUAUCAUAAAUUCUUCUCCCGUUAUCUGAUUGAGGUAAUUCAAAGUGCGUUGGAAAAUUAACUCAAAGAGCUAUAACUUUUAUUUAGAUAUCAUUUUUCCAAAUCGAAUGUUUCCUAUGUCGAAAAUGGAUCUCAAAUGAGACUAAAAAUUUGAAGUAUACUUUAGUCAUCCAAUAUUCAUGUCUUAGUGCCACUAAGGUGUCUAGAAUUAUUUGGGGUUCUACAUUAGGUUUUUAUCCAAAUAAAGAAUGGACCAAAGGAAAAAAAGUGGUAAAACAAAAAAUGGAGCAGAACGGCAAGCGUUGUAGUGCCGUAGUGGACACCGCGGCAUGGUCGCAAAGCAAAGAAAUUUUAAGAUUUUUGGACUCUUUUCUGCCCCAUUAACAUUCAAAUCUUUUGGGAACUUUAAAGGCACGAAAAAGACAACCGUAAAGGAACUUUUUGGGAAAAACAAUCAAGGAGGAAAAACAAGAGAGAUGACCAACAAUUCCAUGGAGUGCUAAACGUCUUGGUGAAGUUAGGAAGGAAUUCAAUUGGAUUCAAUGAUUUCAACAUUAUUUGAUACAUAGAUUUAGAUUUUCACUCUAAAUAAUUCUAUGGUUUAAAACUUCUUUUCAUAAAAGUGUUUUGAGAUUGACUAAACUUUUAUUAAAAUUCUUCAUAAAUUCAAUCACAUUUUCUCUAUUGAAUGAUUAAAAUACUCAUUUAAGUUUUAAUCAUUUAUCUAUUUUUAUUGGUGUAAUUCAUUACUAUUUUAUGUUUGAAGUAUAUGGUUGUUUUUAAAUCUUAUUCUAGUAAAAAAAAAGUAUGAGUAUUGUGGCAGGAGAGUUAAUAUGUAGAAUUACAAUUGAAUUAAGCCGAUUUUAAUGACAUUUCUUCCAAUUAGAGAAACUAGGUUGAAUAUCUCUAAUCGGGUUAUAAGAAUGAACCAUUGAUGUUGAAUGACCCAAUUCAAUUGAGAGAAUUCUGACGCUUCACUAAUUCAAACCUUGAUUUUAUUUUCAUUCAAACAAAUAAAUUGUUUUUACACAUUCAAAAGAACAUUCACCUUUCAGAUCUAUUAAGUAUUUUUAACUCUCUAUGAAAUCGACAGCCCAAAACUGUACUACAACUACUACGUUAUUCUUUGGAUGUAACCAAAUUUUGAUGACGUUGCUAGGGAGAUGGUACAAGUAGCUAAGAGAUUUAAUUUUAAAAGGGUGGCUUCGUUUCUUUAUUAUUCUUUAGUUGAUUUAUUUUAUUUAUUGUUAUUCUUUAUUCUCACAUUAUUUCAUUUUUGUGUUUUAUGAUAGAUAUCGAGACAAGUAAGGAAGAUUCGUUGAUAGAUCCUACAGAGUGUUUAAAUCUCUUUGUAACCCUACUUUCGAUGCUGUAUCUGUUGACACUGGCACCACAUCACAUAACACUAUGUGUGAAAGUGAGCACGAAGAUCUACCUUAUAGAAUUCGAAAGGAUUAUCUUCAUCCCACGCUCACAUCCAUACCAUUAUGCAUUAUUUUUCUACCUAAUAUGUCACGUAUAGACCUUGAACUAGGAAUGAUAAGCUUUUUCCCACUUUUCACAUACUUGAAAGUGAAAAACCAUAUGUGCAUAUUAAAGAGUUUGAGGAGGUGGUUGCAAUCUUCCAUAGUCAACAUUGUACAGCGGACCCUAUCAAGCUUAAAUUUUUUCCAUUUUCACUUAAAGAAAGAGCAAAAUCUGGUUAUAUUCAUGAUGACCACGUUGAUUGGAACAUGAGGUGUAAUAACUACUCAAGUCUUUUUCAACAAAUACUUUCCUCAUCAUAAGACUAGUGUCCAGAAGAAACAAAUUUCUUUAUUUGCUAAAAAAGAUAGUGAAACCUUAUACCAAGCAUGGGAAAUAUACUUAGAAUUACAAACCCAUUUGCCCCCACCAUGAUUAUGAAAGUUAGCAUACUGUGAGUUAUUUUCAUGAAGGACUGACACCUAUAGAGCAUCAAUUUGUUUAGAUGAUGUGUAAUGGUGAGUUCUUGCAAAAAGACCAAGCGAGGCCAUAGAGUACUUAGAUGAGUGUGUUAAAAAACUUGCACUUGGAUUGGACCUAGCACUUCUACUAUCACUAAUAGGUCUCAACCAAUAGGAAACUUUUCUAGCACAAGUAUUUAUCAUCUUAGGGAGGAGGAUAACCUCAGAGCCAAAGUAGAAGCCGUUACUGGAGAACUUGAAACCCUACACACUAAGGACUUAAACUUUACACAUAUUGUUUCCCGUGUUGAGUCCCUUGGACCUUGUUUUGUGUGUAGUAGAUCAUCUUGCGUAGAAGUGUACCACUCUAGCUGAGAUGAGGGGGUUUAUGAGGAACAUUGUAAUGUCUUAGGUAUGUACAAGAAGCCAUAUGCUCCUUUUUCUAAUACCUACAUUCAGGGUGGCGGAAUCAUCCCAAUUUCAACUUAAAAUCUAAAAUCCAGUAACUUGGCUAGUCAUCUAGAGCUUACACUAUGCCUUCAUAUCAGCUCACAUCCUUUAAGAACUAUUUAGAAGAAACUUUACGUACAUUUAUAGAGGCAUAAGUUAAGACUAAACAGGAGUUUGAGACUAUGAUUACUCAAAUUAUUGAGGAAAACAAAUAGAUGAAAAAUCAUACGUCUAAAUUGACCAAUACUUUAGUUGUAGUAUAACGUGGAAAAUUUUCAGCUCAAGCUCAACCAAAUUCUAAGAGACAAUACAUGGCACAAACAUUAGGUUCAGAAGAAAACAAUCUUAAAGAAGUUAAUGUCAUUACCAAUCGAACUGGGAAGAUUAUAGAACCAUUCUUGAAGUCAUUGGGAAAAUGAAAAUGACUAGUAAUUCUGUAAAGAGCAAUCCUAGUGAAAAGGAGUAGAAAAUAUAGCUACAGUACCAUUCCAUCAAGCUCUUAAGUCUACCUUGAAAGUUUUUUUUUUUUAGUAAAGACAUUCACACAUCCUUAGUGACUUUUUAGGGUCCACCAAGGAAGGUUGAUGGGGGUUAAGGGUUCCCCAACCAUAUUUAUUUUAUAAAAAUCAAGAAUACACGGAAGGAGGGGGGCAUGAACCUGACCUCCAAAAAGCAGCGAUGCAACAACUGAAUAUAAUAAAAUGAAAGUAAUAAAUGAGGAAGUACUACUCCCCUAUACAAUAAAAACAGUUUAAUAAUCAUAGCCUAAAUUACAAACCUCUGAAACUUGGCAAUCCAUGUUUGUCGAUCUGCACUAGCGCCCUAAUAUGUCGAGGCAGUUCUAGUGGUCCAUACUCUAAAUAGCGCCGAUGAUCCCAGCCUUCUGUAGCAAGAGAAUCAGCAACCUGGUUGCCUUCUCUGUAGAUAUGUGAAACAGUAUCUCUAUCGAAGUAGAUGAGGUCUCUGAUCUGUCUAAGAAUACCCUGAAUCGACCAUGGACCUCCACCUUUGGUGAUGCAGUGAAUAGCCAAUGUUGAAUUUGCCUCAAGCCAGAUAGCUGAAAUCCCAAGUCCUCUGGCCAAUAGAAGCCCAUCUAGUAUAGCUCUGAGCUCAGCCUCCAAAAUGAAACAUGGGCCGUACGAUGCUGAAAAUGCCUUGAUACAGUAUCCUGCAUGGUCCCUAAUGAUUCCUCCACCACUUGCAAAUCCAUCUUUGACGCAUCCAUCAGUGUUGAUCUUGUAGGAUCCAACUGGUGGAGUGCACCAAACAACCAUAAUAGGUAGUGGUGGGAGAGGACGGGUCAAAGAAAUGCUAAAAAAGGGUGCAAGUGUCACAUCUCCUUGCCAAUGCUCAACUCGGAAUAGUCCUUCCAUAUGAAGAAAGGAGAUCAUGCGGUAGACCCUCCAAAUAAUACGUCUGGCCACCAUACGAAUACCUUUAUGCUUCGCAUCAUUCCUCUCAGUCCAUAGAAACCAAAAUAUCAGUAGAGGAAUGAUAGUACGAAUGUGCCCACGGCUAACGUGCUGUCUAGAAUACCGCCAUCUCUGGAACCUUUGUCGGACCCCCUCCCCUAAAGUCAUAGGUAUCAGAAAGAUGUCUCCAAAGUGCUGCCAUACCUGGUCGGAGAUUCUGCUACUUGUGAAAAUAUGAUUGAUGGUCUCAAUCUCAGAACAACACUGACAACGAGAGGCCAAUUGACAUCCAAUCCUCCUCUGAAUAAUCACAUCUACAGGAAUGAGAUCCUACCAUAGUCUCCAACAGAAGAAUGAAACAGUGGUAGGCAAAAUUGAGCUCCACAGUAAUCGAUACGAAUCUUGAGGCUGGCGAACCGAACGGACAAGCUGCCAUCCUGAUUUGGUGGUAAAGUUACCAUCCGAUGUAAUCCUCCAAACAAUUCGGUCUGGGGCAUCUGCACAUAGAGGUAUCGCCCCUAUUUGUUCCGCCAUUUGAGAAGGAAGGGCCUGUAAUAACUGUCCAAAAUCCUACCCAGUGUCAUCAAAGAAAUCCUGCACCCUCGCAGAUGUGUGCUGUCUGUGUGGGAAUAGGGAUGCCAACGUGGUCUCGCCCAUCCAACAAUCGUGCCAGAAGAAAAUCUGGCCUGUUCCAAGAUGUCAGGCAAUGUGUGGAUCUGUCUAUGGUCCAACUAAUUUCAGCCUCUUCCAGGUAGGGGAAGUUGAACUGGGAACUGCUGCAAGUGAAGGAUGUGUUCCCAUACAAUACUUGCCCAGUAAAAACUGAGCCCAAAGUGACCUCUGAGAUUGAAACAACCACCAGAGCUUCAUGGAGAAGGUGUCCACCACAUCUUGUAAUCUCCUGAAGCCAAGGCCUCCCUCAUCUGUUGGAAGGCAAAUCUCCUUCCAACUCCUCCAAUGUAGGCGUCGAACUUGAUCCUUAGAAUCCCAUAGAAAUCGGGCAAAGAUGCUCUCAAGCUUCUUCAGCACUACCUUGGGCGGUUGCAUUAUCUGAAGAAGAUGCAAUGGUAUGGAGGAGAGUACUGACUUUAGUAAGGUAAUACGACCCCCAGGUGAUAAUAAUCGUGAAGCCCAACCUGAGAUCCUGCCCCUGACCUUCUGGAUAAGGUCGUCAUAAAGAAAGCUCCUCUUAGUCCCCUUGAAUAGUGGGACUCCCAAGUAAGUAAAAGGCUGCUGCUGAUGUCUAAACCCAGUAAAAUUCUCCAAUCGUCUGAUCUAACUAGUGGAUGCCCAUCUUGAUAGUAUUAGACCACUCUUGUCUCUAUUGACCAACUGGCCAGAAACCCCUUCGUAGUGCUCCAAGCAGUCUAGGACCCUCCUGAUAGACUGUUUCUGACCAUUGGCAAAAAUGAUCAUAUCAUCAGCAAAUGAGAGAUGGGAAACAAGAGUGUUACCUCCGUGUCGAUAGCACAUACUGGGAUACUCCUGAAACCUCUGAGUGAGCAGGCGUGAAAAGUAGUCUGUCGCUAUGAUGAAUAAGGAUGGAGAGAUAGGAUCACCCUGUCUGAGUCCUCGUGAGGAAGUAAAGAAACCAUAUGGACGGCCAUUUAGAAGUACAGAAAAACGGCACUCCGAAAUGCAUCGUCUAAUCCUGUCAAUCCAGAUCUGAUCAAAUCCAAAAGCCUCCAAUACAUAAUAAAUGAAACCCCAAUCCAUGCGAUCAUAUGCUUUAGCCAUGUCUAACUUCAGCAUAGUGUUAUCCCCUCGCACUCUAUCAUCCAACAUAAUAAGAUCCUAGAAUGCCUCAAGCAAGAGAAAAUCAAUUUACCUCUCUUGCAUGUGAUUGACCAGGUUCUACAUAUGCUAAAGUCCUCAAAGACUUAUGUACCAUAAAGAGGAAACACUAUGUCAAAAAUAAUGUUAUUUCGACUGAGCAAGUGAGUGUUGUGAUUGAGAAAAUAAUCCCAUCGAAAUAUAAGGCCCUGGUUGUCUUACCAUUUCUUGCAUCACUGGAAGCCAUGAGUUUACAUAAGCUCUUCUUGAUUUAGGACUAGUGUUAACCUCAUGCCUUAUGCUAUUUACUCGUUGUUAGACAUAGGUGAGAUAUAACCAACAUUUGUAGUUUUACAAUUGGUUCAUCGAUCCACUAAAAGACCAAGAGGAAUAGUUCAGGAUUUUUUGUACGAAUGGAUAAAUUUUAGUACCCUAUUGAUUUCUUAGUUCUAGACUUAAAUGUUGAUGUGAAUGUUGAUUCUAAAAUUUCUAUCAUUCUUAGUAGACCAUUUCUACCAGAACUAAUGCUCUUAUAAAUUGCAAGAAUAGUCUAAUGAAGUUAUCUUUUGGGAAAAUGACUUUAGAACGCAAUAUUUUUCACAUCAUUAAGCAACAUAGGGAAGGCGAUAAGUGCUAUCAAACACAAAUGAAUGAGGCACUCACUAUGAAAGAAGCACCUACAGCUACUGAUUUUGACCAAUUGAAUUCUUUUUUCUUAAUUUCUAAAAUUCUAGCAAGUUUUGAUAAUGAGAAAUAUGCUAACAUUUAUGUUGUUUUUGCAAAAUUUCAGAAUUAUGGGACAUCACCAUGGUAGCCCAAGUUUGAAAAAUUUCGAAAUGAGUGGAGAACAACAACCAUCAAACAUCGAGAAUCCCAAACUAGAGUUGAAACAGCUGCCCUCAUGACUAAAACAUGUGUUUCUUGGACCAUGUGAUAUUUUUCCUGUAAUUAUAUCUUUAGAAUUGAAUGCGUUAGAAGAAGAGCAGCUUUUAAAUAUUCAAAAUGAGCAUAAAUCUGCAUUAAGUUGGGCCACAUUUGACAUUAAGGGUAUUGGUCCUUUAAUUUGCUCACAUAAAAUUCACCUAAAGGAGGGAAAAAGCUCCAAAAGAGACUCACAUCAUAGAUUAAACCCCACAACAAAAGAAGUGGUGAAAAAUGAGGUAUUAAAUUUGUUAGAUGUAGGAAUCGUUUACCUAAUUGCAAAUAGUAAAUAGGUUAGUUCUACACAAGUAGAUCUUAAAAAGUUAAGUAUCACAGCGAUAAAGAAUGAAGUAGGUAAAUUGGUUCUUACUAAAGCAGUGACUGGAUGGUGUGUGUGUGUGUGUAUUUAUUAUAGGAAAUUGAAUUCUGCGACUCUUAAGGACAAUUUUCAUCUUCUCUUUUUGGACCAAAUUUUAGAACGUGUGGCUGGCCAUCCUUUUACUAUUUCUUGGGUGGCCAUUCUUGUUAUUAUUAAAUUGAAAUAGCCUUAGAAGACUAGGAAAAUACCACAUUUACUUGUCAUUUUGGUACUUAUGCAUUUUGCAGUAUGCCUUUUUGAGUAUGUAAAGCUAUUGCUAUAUUUAAAGAUGCAUAAUGAGCAUAUUUAAUGAUAUGGUAGAAAAUUGCAUGGAAGUUUUAUUAGAUGAUUUGACUAUUUUUGGGACUUCUUUUAAUGCAUGCUUGUUGAAUUUGGAGAGAGUUUUGACCCAAUGUGAGGAAAAAUGGUUAAUUUUGAAUUGGAAGAAAUGUCAUUUCAUGGUACAUUAAAGCAUUAUCUUAGGACAUGCAAUUUAUUCUAAAGGGUAGAGGUUGAUAAAUUCAAGAUUGAAUUAAUAUCUAAUUUCCUGCAACUAAGACAGUAAAAAGAUAUUAAAUCCUUUCUUGGCCUGUGGGUUUCUAUAGCAGGUUCAUACAUAAUUUUUCAUCUAUAUUUAAACCAUUAUGUAACCUUAUAACUAAAGAUGUCACUUUUGAAUGGAACCCGACUUGCCAAGAGGCUUUUGAAAUGCUAAUUGGCAAGCUAACUUUAGCACCUGUAACAUAACCACCUGAUUGGACAUUGUCAUUUGAGAUUAUGUGAUGCAAGUUAUUAUGCAGUAGAUACUGUCCUUAGGCAAUGAAGGGAGGUAAGCCUUUGUCAUUUACUAUGCUGGUAGGACUCUAAACAGUGCUCAAAUAAAUGACUCUUCUAUUGAGAAAGAGUUACUCAUUGUAGUCUUUGCUCUAGAUAAGUUUCACUCUUAUUUGAUUGGUUCUCCUAUUACAAUUUUCACAGAUUAUUCAACCCUUAAGUACCUUUUCAAAAAGAAUGAUGGUAAGCCAUGUUUAAUACAAUGGAUUUUACAUUUAGAAGAAUUUAACAUCACCAUCAAAGAUAAAAAAAAAAAAAAAAAAAAAAAAGGGGGGGGAAUGGGGGAAAAAAAUAUUUCUUGGUGGCCAUUUUUCUAUGAAAAAAUUGGUGAAAAAAUUCUGCAAUGUGAUUUUUACUGUCCCACUUUAUUUAAAAAUACUAAUGCUUAUUGUAGAUUUUUUGAGAGGUGCCAAAAGCUUGGUGCUUUGUCCAGGAGUAAUAUGAUGCCAUUGAACCCCAUUUUAGUGAUAGAAAUAUUUGAUUAUUGGGGAAUCGACUUUAUGGGAUCUUUUUCACCUUCUUUUGGUUACUCAUAAAUCAUUGUGGUAGUAGAUUAUGUGUUUAAAUAGGUAAAGACAACAGCUUAUAGGGCCAAUAAUAAUAAUAAAGCGGCUGUUAAAUUUUUUUAGGAAAAUGUAUUGUCUAGGUUUGGCACACCACGAGCUAUUAUUAGUGACAGAGUCAUGCACUUUUUCAACCGUUCAUUUGAAACACUAAUGAAAAAGUAUGAGAUUGUUCAUAAAAUUUCUACUGCUUACAUUCCCAAAGUGGAUAAGAAUAAUUGGCUAAUAGGGAAACUAAACAAAAUUUGGAGAAAAUGGUGAACCCCGAUAGUAGAUAUUGGUCUUUCAGACUAAAUGAUGCACUUUUGACUUAUCGUACAGUUUAAAGAUGCCCUUAGGCAUGUCACCUUAUAGACUUAUUUUUGGAAAGUCUUGCCAUUUACCAAUAGAGCUUGAGCAUCGAGCCUAUUGGGCCAUCAAACAUUUUAACUUUGAUCUAGAAGAGGAAGGUAAUCUUAGGAAAUUUCAAUUGACUGAGUUGAAGGAGUUAAAAAAUGAUGCAUAAAAGAAUUCUAAAAUCUACAAGUUAAAAAUGAAAGCAUUUUAUGAUAAAAAUAUUCUUAGAAAAACAUUUGGAGGAAAUCAAAAAGUACAUUUUUAUGAUUCUAGACUUCACGAGGACCCCGAAAAAUUUCGAACUAGCUGGACAAGCCCCUUCAUGGUGAAACAAGUUUUUGAUUGAAAUUGAGGAUUGUAAUGACGGUAGAGUAUUUAAAGUGAAUGGGCAGCGUCUCAAGAUAGUUUAUAGGCAAUAUGUGCCUGUAGUGGAAAAAAUUCUUCUUGCAGACUUGUUUGCCAUCAUUGACAUCACUCAAGCAUGUCUUCCACUUUUCUUUUCUAUAUAUUAGUGUUUUAGGUUUAUUUUCAUUUUUGCGUUAAUUUUCAAUUGAGCACUUCUCAGGUUAACAAUCAUUCAGACUUUAUGUUGAUUUACUUUAGUAUUCAGGUGAUUCCCUUCUUUUUUUUUUCCUUUGGUAGACAUUGAGAACAAUGUCAGAUUUGGUUGGGAAGAGAGUUAAUUUGGAUUUUGUUGUGAAUUUCAUAAUAAUCAUGGAAUUUUGGCUUUGAUUUUGCUGAUUGGUUCGAAAGAAUUUUUUUAAGUCUAUGACUUGUUGCAUGUGUAUGUUCAUGAAUGACAAGAUAUGCCACUUGAAGUUAAUUUUGUUCAUUAGGCUCUAGAUGUCAAGACACUUAUUGAAUUCUUUACAGGCAUACAAACCUUGUGGUAAGAUGGUAGUUUGACAUAUGUAGUUAGAGGGGUCUCUUGCUCAAGUUUUCAUGGAGAGAAUUUGUGAGGAUUAAGAGUUAUCACAUACUAAAAAUGGUAAUAACUUUCAUUGAUUUCUUGAAUUGAAAACUUCUUUUGAGAAUAACACUACAGUUUGUGCUAAGAUGUUGGAUUGUAUUUAGAAAAUGAUGAGAGUCAAUUUAGGAUUGACAUUUGAGCCUUUCAAGCCAACUCUUUUUAAUGAUUACAACCCCUAGUAGUCACUUUGAGCAAAUACACAUAUAUAGCAUUUUUCUUCAUGCACCUAUGUUAUCCAUACCUCUCCAUAUUGGUGUAUAGCCUAUACACAUAUUUUCCCACCUUUUUACUUCCAAGUGUGUAUUAGGUAUUGGAUGUUUAUUUGUAAAUAAUAGAAAAAACGAAAAGGACAAGAGUUGGUAAGUGUUCAAGUGAAGCGACCUAAAAGGCAAAGAGAAAAAUGUUAAAAAAAAAAAAUAGAUGAAAAAAGAAGAUUGAUUUUGGAGAUUGAAACGUUGAAGAAUGCAUUGAUUAAAUGAUGUGGUCUAUUGAAAUACUUGAUGUGACCUAGCUAUGUAAUUGGAAGUCUUUGAAUCCUUAUGCAAUUCUUUUUAAAUAGCCUAACCUAAGUCGCAUUAAAACCGUGUGCAUUGACUGUUCUGGUCCCAAGUAGGAUUGGGGAAAGACUGGAUGAAUUUUCAUUUGAUAGUGUUCCUAUCAUAAGAUCAAAGUUUGCUUGUUACUUGUUCAUAAGUGUUUAAACCUCCAAGUGUUUUAGCGUACAUCUUUUGUCAGCUCCAUAGAGAGAACCCUUACACUAAACACGUUUAACAUCUGUGAGUUAUGAAGUUGAGCCUCUAGCUUGAGACGCACUUGAUGUUACACGUUUUAAGUUUAGUGGUAAGAUGGCUAUAGCUUGGCACACACUCACAAAUUCUGUAAGUGCAUUCGAUAGCCUGAUAUUGAUGACAGUACUAACUUCUUGUAGUGUUGAGUUCGAAAGGCAUGAAUUGUAAUUAAUUUGGAACUUGACUAUUUAAAUUGUAUUGUAGACCAUUCAAUGAUUGUCUUGUUUUGCAUAGAAUUACUAGAGACUAGCAAUAAGCAAGUUCGGGGGUAAUAAGUGCACGAAAGUGUACUUUAAACACCAAAUUAUUGUGCUAAAAUGCCAAAAAGUGAAUAGCAAUCAUAGGAAUUAAUUUAUGUUGUUUGAAGUGUUGUUCCAUUUACUUUACGAAAAUUUAUAAGCUGAUUCAUAUAUUUAAUUUGAUGUUUUUAUACAAGUGAAGUAUAGACUAAAGAUAUGGUCGGCGUUGCAAGGUAGUAGGCACCGUGGCAUUUGUCACAAAGAAGAGGAAUUUUCAAUUUUUUGGACUCUUUUCUGGACCAUUUGAAUUCAAAUCUUCUUGCGAGAAAGACAACCCUAAAGAGGACUUUUUGGAACAACAAUCAAGGAGAAAAACAAGAGGAUAUGACCAACAAUUCCAUAGAGAACUAAACAUUUUAGUGAAGCUAGGAAGGAAUUCAAUCAGAUUCGGUGAUUUCAACAUUAUUUGAUUCAUAGAUUUAGAUUUUUACUUUAAACAAUUCUAUGGCUUAGAACUUUUUUCAUGAAAGUGUUUUGAGGUUGGUCAAACAUUUUAUUAAAUUCUUCAUAGAUUUAGUUACGCUUUCUUUAUUGAAUGAUUGAAAUACUCGUUUAAGUUUUAAUCUCAUUUAUUUAUUUUUACUAGUUGUUUCAUUACUGCUUUAUGCUUUUAGUAUAUGGUUGUUUUUUAAUCUUAUUCUAGUAAACAAAAGUACGAAUGCUGUGGCGUGAAGAGUUAAUAUUUAGAAUUACAAUUGAAUUAAAUUGAUUUUAAUGACAUUUCUUCUGAUUAGAGAAACUAUGUUGAACAUAUCUAAUUGAGUUACAAAAACGAAUCAUUGAUGUUGAAUGACCCAAUCCAAUUGAGGAAAUUCUGAUAUUUCACCAUUUCAAACCUUGUUUUGAUUUUCAUUCAAACAAAUAAAUUUUUUUCACAAAGAACAUUCACCUUUCGGAUCCUUUAAGUAUUUUUAAAGUCCCUCUCUAUCUAUGAAAUCGACACCCCAAAACUGUGGUACAACUAUCGCACUAUUCUUUGGGUGUGACCAACCCUAAUUGCAUUAAGCCUUGUUUGGGCUUCAUUUUUGUAAAAACAUAUUUUUCUCUUUUUUAGUUUUAAUCACACAUUCUUUAAUAAAAUAAUAUUACACGUAAAUCUAAAAAUUUUUCUUAAUUUUUAACAAUAUGUUCUCUAAAAUUUAUUAUUCCAAUAUAUAUAUAAUGAAGCCCUAAAUAAGAAUUGAAUUAGCGGUUCUUUCCUCUCCAAAGCAUCAAAGCAUUUCAACACACACUAUACAACCUAUAGAGAUGGGUGUGAAUGAAGUGAUGAACUUCAUUGUAGAAAAGUUGAAGGAAUUACUACUAGCAAUGGGAAAAAUUGGUGGCAAGGUGGUGGAUUAAUUUGACAAGGUGUUUCCACCAGAGACGAGGUGAUAUGAUUUAUGAACCCAUGGAGAUACUCUUGUAAUCUGAAGAAAUAGAUAAACAUUGUAUAUUCAAAGUUAUCUUGCUAUAAACGCUUUACUUUAGAAAAUUCUCUUUAUCAGUUCCUGAUUUAGCAUUUGAGUUGCAAGUUUGCUUUCAAUUAAAUUUAAAAAAAAAAAAAAGGUGUUUGCCUUCGAUCUUUCGUAAAAGUUUUAUAUUUUGUCCCUAAUAACAAAAACAUUAACAUUUUUUUUAAAAUUAAUAUGUGACAUUCAUGAAAAUAUGUAUCUUUUCAAAGUACUCAAUAUCAAGUCAAUUCAUAGAAAUGAACUUAUGAGCACUACAUGAUAUUUUGAUAUUUGAUUGGUUGUAACUAUAACAAAGGAUUUAGAAGCGACUAAUUGACAACCAACAUGCAGUUUUCUUAAACUUUCAAUACUAAACUUAUUGCCUCUUUUAAUUGACAAUUUAUGAUCUAUGUGUUCGGAAAUUUUAUGCCAAUUCCCUUUAUUUCUAUUUAUCCGAAAGAUCUUUUAUUGUUUAAGAGAAUAUUAGCAAACAGGAAAAAUAAAAAAUAUAACGUACAAAUUAAACGGACCAUCAAAACUUUUCACUAUAUAAAAAAUUGUUAAUAUAGAAUUUAACUCACCACCCCAAUCCCCAAGUAUUACAAAGAAAAAAAUAAACUCAAAUUUUACCACACCUACUUUUUUACUCAAUGUACAAAAGUAUCAAUAUGCUAGGUUCACAAUCUUUUUCUCUCAGAUCAACUCUCUGGCUAGACCCAAAAUAAUGAAAUACAUCUACUAUUUAUAAGAUCAAUAACCAAGUAAAAGAGUUUAAUUUAAACUCAAAUAAUACUCCUUUAACUCGACAAGGAUUCCUUCAUGUGCAAGAUUCCAAAAUUGGCUGUAAAUUGGAGACCAAAUUUUGCAAGGAUUCCGCUCUCAACUUUAAUUAGAAGUCUUCCAUACAAUAACUAUCCUUUAUUAUUUGCAAUAGAAGUCCUCUAACUUUUGACUUUUGAGGCAACUACCUAACAAUCUCCACCUUGCCAAAAACGAGUCAAAAUCUUGUCAUCUCUUCUACAACUUUUAAUCACAAUACUUGAAAAAAAAUAGGUAAGCCUUUGACACAUUUUAAUGGUCUUAUACUCCACUAUAUGAGUAUAACCACUCAGAACUUCAAGCAUUUCAUCGGCUAUAUGUCGAAACAACCUUGUUGAUAGUUAUGGUGCAACUUUCUCACUGAAUUUUCCAGAAAGCUCAUCAGCCAUUGACAUCACAAUACCACCACAUACCUACACAUCUUGCAUCAAAUGUAAGUCAAUGCUGUGUGCAGAUAUGUUAAUACGCGCCAGUGAGAACACAUCCUUUAUUAUGGCAACUGGCGACAUGCCAUAAUGAUGUUCCCAUCUUACUUUACGGCACCAUGUCCUCCUUCACCAGGAGAGACGCAUUCUCUGACCUGAAACAGUUCGCUGACCCUGCUCCACCUUUUUUACAAUUUCUCUUCACAUUGCCAGUCUGAUCGCAGUUCCAACAAGUUACUUUUUUCCUCAUGGAGUUGCCAAUCUUGCUAGAACUCUUCAUUGGGUUUCCUUUCAAAGCCGUGUGUAGCCCAGUUUGAAUCAAUAAAUCCCUAACUUGUACUUGCCACAAGCCAAAAUUGAUUUUCUAGUCAAAUUUCUCCACGUCAUAUUUCAACGAUGACAUAUUUUUCUUUUGCUCCAAUACUCCGAACCACCUGGUGCUCUGAUACCACUUGUUGGGAAAUUUUUCUGUAAUUCCCUUUAUUUCUAUUUAUCCGCAGGAUCUUUUGUUGUUCAAGUGAAUAUUAGCAAACAGGAAAUAUAAAAAAUAUAAUGCACAAAUUAAACGGACUGUCAAAACUUUUCACUAUUUGAAAAUUUGUUACAAUCAUAUAGAAUUUCACUCACCAACCUAAUUUUCAAAUAUUACAAAGAAAAAUAAAUAAACUCAAACUUAACUACACCUACUUUUCUACCAAAUGUAUGAAAAGUCUCAAGAUACUAAGCUCGCAAUAUUUUUCUCUCGGAUCAACUCUUCAGCCAUACCCAAAAUAAUGAAAUGUAUCCACGAUUUAUAGGAUCAAUAACCAAGUAGAAUAGUUUAAUUUAAACUCAAACAAGAAUCAUUUAACUUAACAAGGAUUCCUUCAUGUGCAAAGACUCCAAAAUUGGCUAUAAAUUGGAAACAAAAUUUUGCAUGGAUUUUGCUCUCAAAUUUAAUUAUAAGUUUUCCAAACAAUAACUACCUUUUAUUAUUUACAAUAGAAGUCCUCUAACUUUUAACUUUUGAGGUAAUUACCUAACACUAUGAAGACUUGACUUCCUCCAGUGCUCCCUUUGCCUUUAAGAAAUCUCAAAACACUGCUAAAAUGUGGCCUACAAAAAAUAAAUCAAUAGAUAAUAAUGACAACUGAAAUUCCCACGUUAGUCUACACACCAGGGGAAUGGAGAAGCAACAAUAUAGUAAUAAUAUCAAGAAGAUGAAAACGAUUUCAAAGGCUCGAAUACGGUAUCAUCGUCCUCAAAUUAUAUUUGCCCCCUCGUAGCAAAUGGUUCAAAGGAUUAAUCAAUUCUUGUAAAGAAUCAAACAUUUAAGCACAUGUGUGAUUCUCCAAAAUUCAAGAACACAAAGAGGAAAUCAAUGAAAAUGGAAGAAAAGGAUGUUUGAUCCUUUUGUGAAAUGAAGUAGAGUUUCUCAUAUGUUUUCAAUUUGAUUUCAAUGUCCAUCAAACACAUAUUUAUAGCCAUGGAUCAUAAAUAUACAAAGUAGUGCCAAAAAGAAGUGAAAAGCCGCCAAAAUUUCAAACCAAAAAUGCCUCAACGGCUAGUUGGUUCCUCUAUGUGGUCGCAUAGAGUAAACCUAUGCGACCGCAUAGAUUGUCCAAAAGCAAGGCUUUUACCACCAUGCGACCGCGCCUCUAAGAGGUCUACGUGAUCGCAUGGAUCCCAAUUUUGCCCUCCAUUUUUCUCUUUCAUUUCAUUCUUGUUUUUAUUGAUUUUCAAACAACAUUUUCCAUCGUGAGGGGAAAAUUAUACUAUCAACCUGCCUGUUUCAUUGCAUUAAUGGACAGAUUAUCACCUAAAUGGAAUUUUCUAAAAUUUAUUUCACUAUCACGCAAACUGAUGAUCAUUUAGACUUUAGAUGAAUAAUAUUAUUCUUAAUUGAAACUAUUUGGAAAGUAAAGGGAGUGCAAUAAUCCUUCAUAAAGAAUGUAUUUUUAUAUGAUUUAUAUAAAUUAUUGAUGAAUUAAGGGAUAUAAUAUCCACGUGAUUCUUGUUAAGUCUCUAUUUGGUCUAGAAUAAAAUCUCAAGUCAAAAUCAAUAAUUAAUUCUAAUCAUACAUUUUCUAAGACAUAAUUUUUAACCAAACAUUUCAUUAACUUUUUAUUAAAAUUGAUUAAAAAUCAAAAUUAAUCUAUACCAACACAAAAUGAGAUGCUGACCAACAAAAUUGGCCUUCAUAUGAUUUUAUUUACAAAAUCAUGUUAAUUUCUUUUGAGGUAUGGCAUUGACAACUUAAUAAGGCCAUGUUUGACGGUCCUUUUUUUUUUUUUUGUAAAGAAUGAAUUUUUGAUUAGUAAUUUUUUUUCCGAGAAUUUGUAGUUAAAAUUUAGGGAAUACUCUGCAAGAAUGUGUGGUUGAAAAUUAGUAUUAAAAAAAUGUUUUUAGAGAAUGAUUACCAAAUAAGGGCUAAAUAGACACAACACAUUAAAAUGUAAUUGAUUAAAAAUGAAAAAAAUUUAUCACUUGUACUUAUUUAUUUUUCAAUAAAAUUGUCGAAGAAAGUCGAAAUUGAAGAAUAGAAAAAUAUCCUCCAAAAUUGUGUUAAAAAACAUUCCACCCUUCUUGAUAUGAAUCAAGGCGCGUCAACAACCAAGACAACUCAAGCGUCAAGUCACGGGAAGGAUCCGUUGAUCGUCGAAGGUAGACCGAUGACGCGAUCAAGGAUGAAGCAAGUGAAAGAAGCGAUAAGAUUGCUCGUCAAGCGAGUCAAUGAAGACACAAUGUUCGGGGUGCAAAAUGGAGUAAGUUUGAUGUUGGAGUUGAGGGCCGAAAGAACUUGGAUCAACGUGAUAAAGACGGAAGAAAAUGAAGCCGAAGAUUGUUCCAUGUGACCGCAUGGUUAAACAACAUAUGCGGUCGCAUAGAUGGCCUCAAAGAUAAUAUUGGGGGCAAGGACAUGUUCUAUGCGACCACAUAGAUUAACACUAUGCUGCCGCAUAGAACAAAAACAUAAAAAAAAAUCGUUUUUUUUUAUUUUUUUUCGAAUUUUCUAGUUUCGAUAGAAUUCUUAUAAAAUCAAAUUAUUACCAUAAUUUGAUGGGUUUUGGACCUUUUUUACUCAUUAGUAUAAAUAGGAGAAUAUUUUUCAUUGUAAGGACUUUUGCUUGAAUAAUAUUAUAGAGAGAGAACUUGUUCUUUUUCAAUUUCUUGUUCUUCUUGAACAAUCUUGGAACUUAUCAAGAUUCAAUUUCUUGUGGCGUUCUAAACAAUCGGAUUGUGGGUUCUUUUAAUUGUAAUCAAGGGGUUUUAGGUUCUUCGCUAAUCUAGGAUUUCUUGAUUCAAUUCUUGAGGUUCAAGACCCAAAAUCGGGUUAAUAUUGGCGUUCUUGGGUUCCGCAUCAAUCUCGUUAUGGUUUUCGUAGUUUCCAUUGCUACGGGAUUCGCAUCAGUUGGUAUCAGAGCUUUGGCUCCAAUUUAAUCAGGUUAUAUCCUUUGUUUUCUAAUUUUUUUUUUCAAUUCCUUGUGUUCUUGUAUCCAGAAGGUUUUCUUGAUCCUUUGAUCCAAAAGUUUCAUCAAAAAUCUUCAAAUUCCAUUUCUGGGCUUAAUUUUCGCCCAAAUCAGUUUUCGUUUUCUUCAUUGGUUUUGUUAUUGAUUUUCGGAUCUGAAAAAAAAUAUUACUGUUCAUCCGUACAGUAAAAAAAAUUGUUAAAUAUUAUUGAUCCAUCAAAUACCAACUUUUAUUAGUCAAUGUCGUUUCUAAAUUACUUGGACACAUUGAAUCAUUCCAUUCCUUCAAUUCAAGUCAAGUUUUAAAAGUUUUCUUUGAAUCCUUUGUUACAAUUAUUGAGUCACAUCCGGUUUGGGGAAUUCUACAUGAUUUGAUUGAUUGAUUGAGUUCAUUGAUUGUUCCUAGAAGCAAUUGUUGAAACAACUGAGUGGUAAAAGGCAGAGAGGUGAGCUUAAUAGAGGGUAAAAGCCCUUGCGUGUUUUCGAGUGAUUUUUGGUGAGGCAAUAAAAUAAAAUUUUUAGUGUUAGGAUGUCAGAAAUGGCAGAAUCAAACUCAAGCCGACAAGGCAAUAAUAACAAUGCAUCGAAAGAUUUGGUGCAGAGGUUUGAGAGGGCGUUUGGAGAUGUGAGAGAUAGGUUGGAGAAGCAGGAGGCUUGGAUGAAUAGAUUAGAUACAUCGGUGGCUAAUCUUAGUCGGGGGCAUCGAGUGGAUGUAUCCAAUGCCAGAAGACCGGAUAGAUGGGAGCCUAGGAGGGAAAGNNNNNNNNNNNNNNNNNNNNNNNNNNNNNNNNNNNNNNNNNNNNNNNNNNNNNNNNNNNNNNNNNNNNNNNNNNNNNNNNNNNNNNNNNNNNNNNNNNNNNNNNNNNNNNNNNNNNNNNNNNNNNNNNNNNNNNNNNNNNNNNNNNNNNNNNNNNNNNNNNNNNNNNNNNNNNNNNNNNNNNNNNNNNNNNNNNNNNNNNNNNNNNNNNNNNNNNNNNNNNNNNNNNNNNNNNNNNNNNNNNNNNNNNNNNNNNNNNNNNNNNNNNNNNNNNNNNNNNNNNNNNNNNNNNNNNNNNNNNNNNNNNNNNNNNNNNNNNNNNNNNNNNNNNNNNNNNNNNNNGGAUCAAGUGAUUACUUCGCAACGUAGGAGUGGGGGAAGACCAAUCAGCACUUGGGAGGAAUUGAAGUCAUUGAUGAGAAAGAGGUUUGUUCCUAGCCACUAUUACCAAGAGAUCCAUCAAAAACUGCAAGGUCUAUAUCAAGGGUCGAAAAGUGUAGAAAAUUAUCGUAAAGAGAUGGAAAUACUCAUGAUUAGGGCCAAUGUGGUGGAGGAUCGGGAGGCUACCAUGGCACGAUUCUUGAAUGGGUUGAAUAGGAAAAUUGCCAAUNNNNNNNNNNNNNNNNNNNNNNNNNNNNNNNNNNNNNNNNNNNNNNNNNNNNNNNNNNNNNNNNNNNNNNNNNNNNNNNNNNNNNNNNNNNNNNNNNNNNNNNNNNNNNNNNNNNNNNNNNNNNNNNNNNNNNNNNNNNNNNNNNNNNNNNNNNNNNNNNNNNNNNNNNNNNNNNNNNNNAAUGGAGAGGUGGUGAGUGAAAGUGAAGGAGAGUUUGAGGACAUGCCUACAUUGGAGGAUGUUGAAGAAGAAGAAAAAUUGGAGUUUGUUGUUGGGGAAUCGUUGGUGUCAAGGAGAGCUCUUAACACUCAAGUCAAAGUGGAUGAUUCGGAGCAGCAGCGAGAAAAUAUAUUCCACACACGUUGUUACGUCAACAAUAAGCUAUGUAGUAUGAUUAUUGAUGGUGGGAGUUGCACGAAUGUAGCUAGCACAACUUUAGUUGAGAAAUUGGGACUAGCAUUGUUAAGACACCCUAGGCCUUAUAAGUUGCAAUGGUUGAAUGAAAGUGGGGAAGUUAGGGCGAAUAGAAGAGUUUUAAUUAAUUUCUGAAUUGGGAGUUAUAGUGACAAAGUAGUAUGUGAUGUGGUGCCUAUGCAUGUGGGUCAUAUCUUGUUAGGAAGACCAUGGCAAUAUGAUAAAAGGGUCACACAUGAUGGAUAUAGGAAUCGUUAUAGCUUUGUCAAGGAUGGGAAGACUAUUACUCUUGCACCAUUAACACCAGUACAAGUGUAUGGAGAUCACCAAAUCAAGCUGAAAAGUGAGGAAAAUGAGAGAAUAAGAGAGUCGGGAAAAAGGAGAGGCAAUAGUGAAACCAUCAAUAAGAGAGAAAAUAGUGAGGUGGUUGAGAGUGGAGAAAAGAUAGAGAAGCCACAUGAGCGGAGAGAAAAGGAGUCAGUUGAGAGGAGAGAAAAAGAGUCAGCUGAGCGGAGAGAAAAGCCAAAGGUCAACGUCUAUGCAAAAAAGAAUGAGUUAAAAAAGGCUAUGAGCAAUAAUAGGCAAAUAAUAUUGUUAGUGUACAAGGAGUCCCUCCUCAAUUUUGAGGAUUCUAACACAUCCCUCCCUAGUUUGGUUAAGUCUUUAUUGCAGGAGUUCGACGAUGUGUUUCUUGAGGAGAUGCCAAGUGGAUUGCCACCAAUCAUAGGCAUCGAGCACCAGAUUGACUUUGUACCCGGAGCUGUCAUACCGAGUCGACCAGCUUACAGAAGCAAUCCCGAGGAGACGAAAGAGUUUCAAAAGUAAGUGGAGGAGUUGAUGAGCAAAGGUUGUGUCAGAGAAAGCAUGAGUCCAUGUGCUGUACCUGUUUUGCUGGUGCCUAAGAAGGACGGGACUUGGAGAAUGUGCAUGGAUUGCCGAGCUAUCAACAAUAUCACGGUAAAGUAUCGUCACCCAAUACCUAGGCUAGAUGAUAUGCUUGAUGAGUUGCAUGGUGCUUGCAUUUUUAGUAAGAUUGAUCUUAAGAGUAGGUAUCAUCAAAUUCGCAUGCGGGAGGAUGAUGAAUGGAAAACGGCGUUUAAAACUAAGUAUAGAUUGUAUGAAUGGUUAGUUAUGCUGUUUGGACUCACUAAUGCACCGAGCACUUUUAUGCGUUUAAUGAACCAUGUUUUGCGUGCUUUUAUUGGGAAAUUUGUUGUAGUUUAUUUUGAUGACAUCUUAAUCUAUAGCAAAAACCUAGAUAAGCAUUUAGAACAUUUAAAUUGUGUGCUUGUUGUGUUGCGAAAGGAACAAUUGUAUACUAAUUUCAAAAAGUACACAUUUUGCAUGGAUAGAGUUAUUUUCCUAGGAUUUAUGGUUAGUGCUAACGGGGUGGAAGUCGAUGAAGAAAAGAUAAAAGCUAUAAAAGAAUGGCCAACACCUAAGACUAUAACUGAAGUUAGGAGUUUUCAUGGAUUGACUAAUUUUUAUAGGCGAUUUGUAAGAGAUUUUAGCACCAUCACCACACCGUUAACUGAAAUAGUAAAGAAGAGUNNNNNNNNNNNNNNNNNNNNNNNNNNNNNNNNNNNNNNNNNNNNNNNNNNNNNNNNNNNNNNNNCAUUUAACACAAUUAAGGAUAAGCUAUGUAAAGCACCUAUUUUGGCAUUACCAGAUUUUGAUAAAACAUUCGAGGUUAAGUGUGAUGCAUCAGGAAUAGGAAUAUGAGCAGUGUUAAUGCAGGAAAGGAGACCUAUUGCUUACUUUAGCGAAAAGUUGAGUGGGGCAGCAUUGAAUUAUCCGACAUAUGACAAGGAGCUGUAUUCACUUGUUCGAGUAUUGGAGACUUGGCAGCACUACUUAUGGCCAAAGAAAUUCGUGAUAAACAACAAUAAUGAAUCUUUAAAGCAUUUGCGAGGUCAAGGUAAGUUGAACAAAAGACAUGCGAGAUGGAUGGAGUUUAUCGAGAUAUUUUCCUAUGUCAUCAAGUACAAACAAGGUAACGAAAAUAUAGUUGCUGAUGCGUUGUCUCGAAGGUACGUGCUUUUAAAUUCAUUAAGUACUAAAUUACUUGGUUUCGAGCAUAUUAAGGGCAUGUAUGAAUCUGAUUGUGAUUUUUCUAGUAUUUAUUCUUCAUGUGACAAAGGUGCAUUUGAUAAAUUCUAUAGGCAUGAAGGAUAUUUAUUUAGGGAAGAUAAGUUGUGCAUUCCUAAUUGUUCUUUGCGUGAAUUAUUGGUAAGGAAAGCACAUGGGGGUGGUUUAAUGGGACAGUUCGAGGUUCAAAAGACUUUAGACAUAUUAGUGGAACAUUUUUAUUGGCCUAAAAUGCAACAUGACGUAGAACAAAUAUGUGAAAAGUGCAUAACUUGUAAAAAGGCUAAGUCUAAGGUUCAACCCCAUGGUUUGUAUAUUCUUUUGCCUGUACCUAGUGAACUUUGGGUAGACAUAUCUAUGAACUUUGUGUUAGGUUUGCCUAGGACAAAAAGGGGGUCGGGAUUCAAUAUUUGUAGUGGUCGAUAGGUUUAGUAAGAUGGCGCACUUCAUACCAUGUUAUAAAACUGACAAUGCUACCAAUAUUGCAGACUUAUUCUUUAGGAAAAUAGUAUGUUUACAUGGAGUACCUAAAAGUAUAGUGUCUGAUAGGGACAUGAGUUUUUGAGUCAUUUUUGGCGUGUUCUGUGGAGUAAGUUAGGAACUAAGUUAUUAUUUUCUACAACUUGUCACCUACAAACAGAUAGACAAACUGAGGUAGUUAAUCGAACUAUGACUCAACUACUUAGGAUAGUGAUCAAUAAAAAUCUGAAAUUAUGGGAAGAGUGUUUACCGAUUAUAGAGUUUGCAUAUAAUCGAGCUACACAUUCUACUACUUCAUUUUCUCAUUUUGAAAUUGUUUAUGAUUUUAAUCCACUAACACCUAUGGAUUUAAUGCCUUUGUCUGUGCAUGAACGAGGUAGCUUGGAUGGAAAACGAAAAGCCGAGAUGGUGAAAACACUCCAUGAAAAGGUCAGGAUGCAGAUCAAAGAGAAAGAAAAGCUGAUUGUAUCAAAAGCAAAUAAAGGAAGAAGAUGCAUUACAUUUGAGCUUGGAGAUUGGGUCUGGGUGCAUUUCAGAAAAGAGCGUUUUCCAGAACAGAGGAAGUCAAAAUUGCAACCACAAGACGAUGGACCGUUUCAAAUCAUCGAGAGGAUCAAUGACAAUGCAUACAAAGUGAAUUUACCUGGUGAGUAUAAUGUUUCAGCUACUUUUAAUGUCGCUGAUCUUUCUCUUUUUGAUGCAGGUUUGGAUUCGAGGACGAAUCCUUUCGAAGAGGGAGGGAUGAUAUGAAUCAAGGAGCAUCAACAACCAAGACAACUCAAGCGUCAAGUCACGGGAGGGAUCUGUUGAUCGUCGAAGGUGGACCGAUGACGCGAUCGAGCAUAAAGCAAGUGAAAGAAGCGAUGAGAUUGCUCGUCAAGCAAGUCAAUGAAGACACAAUGUUCGGGGCACAAAAUGGAGCAAGUUUCAUGUUGGAGUCGAGGGCCGAAAGGACUUGGAUCAACGUGAUAAAGACGGAAGAAAAUGAAGUCGAAGAUUGUUCCAUGCGACCGCAUGGUUAAACAACCUAUGCGGUCGCAUAGAUGGCCUCAGGGAUAAUAUUGGAGGCAGGGACUUGCUCUAUGCGACCGCAUAGAUUAACACUAUGUGGCCGCAUAGAACAAAAAUAUGAAAAAAAAAUUCUUUUUUUUUUUUCCGAAUUUCCUAGUUUCAAUAGAAUUCUUAUAAAAUCAAAUUAUUACCAUAAUUUGAAGGGUUUUGGACCUUUUUUACUCAUUAGUAUAAAUAGGAGAAUAUUUUUCAUUGUAAGGACUUUUGCUUGAAUAAUAUUAUAGAGAGAGAAUUUGUUCUUUUUCAAUUUCUUGUUCUUCUUGAACAAUCUUGGAACUUAUCAAGAUUCAAUUUCUUGUGGCAUUCUAAACAAUCGGAUUGUGGGUUCUUUUAAUUGUAAUCAAGGGGUUUUAGGUUUUUCGCUAAUCUAGGGUUUCUUAGUUCAAUUCUUGGGGUUCAAGAUCCAAAAUCGGAUUAAUAUUGGCGUUCUUGGGUUCCGCAUCAAUCUCAUUGUGGGUUUCGUAGUUUCGAUUGCUAUGGGGUUCGCAUCACUUCUUCUACACUGUCACCCUUGUACAGCGAUUGAAUUUUUUUAUUUUUUUGUAAUGUCUGACAAAGUUUAGAAUAUAAUUUCAAUUAAUUGGGUAAUUUAGCACAAAAUAUCCCCUAUCUUUCAAUAUUUUUUAUACAAAACGUCUUUACUUUUCAUUUUGUUGACAUUUUUACCAUUAUUUAUAUCUUUCAUUGUGGAGAUAAUCAUUUUUAUCCAUUUUCUCAAAUUAAAAGUUGUGAAAUGACGAAUAUAUCCUUCUAUUUAAAUAAAAUAAAAAUAAAUAAAAAAUUGCAACUAUACUUCUAUUUUUUUUAAAGAACAAAUAAAUCCCAAAUAAAUAAUUUAAAAUCAAAAUUUAAAAAAGAAAAACAAAAAAAAAAUCACUUUCUUUCCUAUCCAUGAAACCGCCACUUUCACUCGUCGAAAACACCAUCCAACUGCUACCUUAGCCAUCGGAUAUCACCACCCCCAUAGAGCUCUUAGUCCUUCCAUCACAACUCACCAACUUGCUCACCCAAACUCCCACCAAAUCUGAUUGCAAUUAGUGGUCAAAGCCUCCAACUCCCAAACACUAAACCUGGGGGCGACAUGACUUUCGAUGACUUUCACAAUCGUGACCUACCGCCAACAGGUUUCCCUCAUCAAGGCAACUUAAAACCAUGGUCAAACAUCAAAUCAAACAAACUCCAAUCAAUCAACGGCACCUUAAUUUUAUUUAUUUAUUUAUUAUUAUUAUUUUUUUUUUUUUUUUUUUUUUUUUAAUCCCCCUUAAAACCCAUUGCCUUGGUCAUUAGAGAGCUCUAAAGGAAUGGAGAUUGCGCAACUUGAGAACUUUAUUGACUCAAGCAUCAUAACUUAUGCCUAUCAUCUUGUAUUAUAUUUAUAAGAGCAUUUUCAAGAGAUUCUCUUAAUACAAAAUGUUUUUUAUUUUAAAAAACUAAUGCUUAAAAAUAAACUCCAAAUUUUUUUAAAUAGAGAGUGAUUUUAACUAUCCAAAUUUAGAUGGCCAAACCCACUCUCUAUUCUUAAUGUACAGUGAUUGUAUUUAAUAAAUUGCAUAUUUCAAUACUCUAUUUCUUAAACUAUUCAAAAUACAUUAUAAUUGAUUAGCCAUUGACGUAUAAAAAGUUAUGUUAAAUAAAUUAUGAGAAGAAAUUAAUAAAUAUUUUUUGAGAAAAUCAAAAUAAAGAUCCAAAAUAGAGAGUACUAUUGGAGUGCAUAAAUUUUUUUUUGACUCUCUAAAUUUGAAAAUGCUCCCUAUUAUGCAUAAAAUGCUCAUUAUAAAUAAAGAGUCCCUUGGGGAUAUUUUAAAUAGCUUCAUAGAUGUAAUUUCUUGUUUAGUGGCACUUCUCCCUACGAAAUUAAUCAAAACCUUUAACCUUGUACACAGCACAUCAGACAUGUCAUUAAAGAUAAUUACUCGUAAAUUAACAAACAUCAUUUCAUUACACAGAACUAAAAAUAUUAGUACAUAGAUUACACACACACACCAUUUCCGAAUUAAUUAAUACUACUAAAACACGCAAACUGCAAAUUAAACACGACAGUUGAAAUCUGUCCCUAUUACUAUGGCGACGGAUUUCAACGUACACUACUGUAGUAUUAAUAUCAGACCUCAGCCAUCGCCAUGAAGUUUGCGAAAAUAGCCAGCAGGGUCAUCCUCAAAUUUUUUUCUAGAAAUAUAUGUACCCUGUCUUCCUGGUGCUCUCAUCAUAUCCUCCUCCUCCUUCUUUGCCGGGCUGGCAAGAUUCCAUAAGCCACGCGCCACCAUCGCCACCCCUGCCACCACUCCGACCGCUGUUGCCACCGCACCUAUUAUAGAUGUUCCUCGAUCUUCCUCCGUCUUCGAGUUGGUGGAAUUAUUUGGUCGCCCAGAACCUCCAGAGUUUCCAUGGGAGCUCAUUUUUUUUUUUUUUUAGGUAUCUCUUUCUCUUACGUUCUCUACACAGGAGAAGAGGGGUUGAUAUAUUUAUAGGCAAGGAAAUUGGUUUACAUUUUAAGUUAAUAUCGAAGACACCCCUAAAGUAUUUUACUAUUAUUAGAAACACCCUCUAUCUAUUAAAACAUCAAAUAAAUCUCCUCUAGAGUUUGUUUUCUAUAAGAUUAAUCCUCCC